ensembl:misc_RNA
CUGAGAGGAUCCUCUCUUCUGCUACACGUUCACUCAUGUGGGAAAAUCAGUAGACUCUCUAGAACACUUUUCAAAAGACAUCCUUCACAAUUUAGCC